rnacentral:rRNA from 1 species
UCCUACGGGAGGCAGCAGUGGGGGAUAUUGCACAAUGGGGGAAACCCUGAUGCAGCGACGCCGCGUGGGUGAAGAAGCGCCUCGGCGCGUAAAGCCCUGUCAGCAGGGAAGAAAAUGACGGUACCUGAAGAAGAAGCCCCGGCUAACUACGUGCCAGCAGCCGCGGUAAUACGUAGGGGGCAAGCGUUAUCCGGAUUUACUGGGUGUAAAGGGGGCGCAGACGGCGAUGCAAGCCAGGAGUGAAAGCCCAAGGCUCAACCAUGGGACUGCUUUGGAACCUGUUAAGCUAGAGUGCUGGAGAGGGA